rnacentral:rRNA from 1 species
UACGUAGGGGGCAAGCGUUGUCCGGAUUUAUUGGGCGUAAAGAGCGUGUAGGCGGCCAGGUAGGUCUGCUGUGAAAACUCGAGGCUCAACCUCGAGACGUCGGCGGAAACCCUCUGGCUAGAGUCCGGAAGAGGAGAGUGGAAUUCCUGGUGUAGCGGUGAAAUGCGCAGAUAUCAGGAAGAACACCCGUGGCGAAGGCGGCUCUCUGGGACGGUACUGACGCUGAGACGCGAAAGCGUGGGGAGCAAACAGG